UAGUUGCAGUUCAGUGGGAUUUUCUCUU
rnacentral:sRNA from 1 species